GAUGGAUGGGCAGACGGACAGACAGCAGAGCCUACCUGAAUUCCGGUCUCCUCUCCAG
ensembl:miRNA Mir6906 microRNA 6906